CGUUGGUGUUCACCUUCCUUCCUCUCCGUUAACAACGUGUCGCCGGACGACGACAGUUUCUUUACCCCCCCCCCUCUCUUCCUACCGCCGCACACGUUUUGCUUUCUCCGGAGCGGAGAAGCGACAAACACCUGAGCAGUUUCUGCUAAAGUGACUGGAGCCUUGUGACAAAGACAACGCAAAAAUGGCAAAUAAAUGACUUGACUGGAGGAGAGGUGAGGAGGUGGAGGAGGACUGACAGAAGCAUGAGGGUGCAGGCAGAGGUGGGAAAACAGGAGGAACCGUGUUGAGAGUGUCCAAUCAGUGUGUGUGUGUGUGUGUGUGUGUGUGUGUGUGUGUGUGUGUGUGUGUGUGUGUGUGGGCUGGUGUAAUGAGGUGGAGACAGUUGUCCAUUACUUCCUGAGUUGAUGGGCUCCUCGCAACAGUGCGUCCACAGCUGGAGGAGUGGAGGAGGAGGAGGUGGCAGCUACAAGGAGAGAAUAUCUGACACAUUCAUAUAUUCACCCUCUGUGUGUUUGUGUCUUUGACUCCCACUCUUACUUAAGAACAGCACUAAUAAUAAUAAUGAUGAUGAUAAAACUUUAUUUAUAAAGCAGUUUUCAAAAAUGUUAUGAAUUGCUUUUAUACAGAAAGACUGGAACAUAGUUUUUUAACGAUAUUGCAAUGUAUUUAUUAUUACAAUGGUAAAAGCCUGAAUUAAAAUGAACUAAACCAAAAUUAGAAUAGCAAAAGUUCAGCUCAGUUUUUCUUUAAGAAUAUUUUAAUACAUGUUUACAAGCCAAACUCAGAAUAAAUACUGGUGAACCAAAUUUAAAGGAAAACAUUUGAUUUUCUUCUUCUCAAUAUUCUAAUAUAAUAUUCAAAUAUGCUCAAUAUAUAAUCAAUAUAUUGAUAAAAAAAAUAUGAAUAAAUAUAAAACUUCUAUACUAUGUCCAAAAUAAUCAUUAACAAAUAUGUAAUCAUAAAUAAACUUAACCAAUUGCCAUUAUUAUUACCACCGGUUCUAGUGUUCUGGUGUACUGCAGUUCUGCAUGCUGUUUGUCCAAGUAGAGUUGCUGCACUGUCUCUCUAUUUCAUUACUUUCAAAUGUAUUAAAAAGUAGAAAACUAGA